UGCUUUUGUUGUUUUGUGUUCCCUCAUUAGUUUAUUAGUGGAGCAAACUUGGGACACAAGUGAAAAUGAAAAAUAUAAAAGGGAGAGGAAAAGGAGAAGCUAUGUGAAGAUGGGGAGGUGGAGGGGGUACUGGAUGUGCUUCAAGAGCUCGUUUAUCAUCCCAACAAAGGGUGUACUUCUCAAGGCUAACUCUCGUCUCAGACACAAAGCCAAAGGGAAUGGAUAUGGUCUGGUUGGUCUUUACAAGGACAUAGAGUCCAAUGGAGGAUAUGCAGAUAUUCAAGUGAUGUGGGAGAUGAUUCAUUCUUCUUAUCCUCCUAAUGUUCACACCAUCAAAAGGAGCAAGAGGGCUUCUCGGAGAUUCUGUUUUAUGCCAAGUUGAAUUUUCACAUUUUCUCAAAGGAUUGGUCUUAGAUGCCUUUUAUACACUUCUUUCAGUGUCCCUUUUUGCAUUUAAAUAAAAGAGCUAGUUCUGUUUCUGCAGAUAGAAAAUGCCAGAGCAAGCACCACCUCCUUUGUCAUGCAUAUACCAGCAGCUGAGCAUAUAGAUUAUAGUUUGCUCUGAAAAGUCUCUACUUCGAAACACUUCUGUAUAGUUAAUGACUUCUCUGUGGUUUCGUAGGAUUUAGCAAGCCAUGGGUCUUGGGAGAUCUCCCAAAUAAAAAAUCAACUAUGUAAGAUAUUUCAGAA